rnacentral:lncRNA from 1 species
GGUCCUGCAGCAGCCGCGCCCAGCCCGCCCGCGGCCGAGCCUCGCCCCGCGCCUCCCGCGCCUCCCGCGGGCCCGAGCCGCCGCCGCCGCCGCUGCGCUCCUUCUCCCGCUCCUUCUCCCGCUCCGCCGCCGCCGCCGCCUCGGGCGGACCCGCUGCCGCCGCCGCCGAGCCGCGGGAGGCCUGAGGCGGGGGGGAGAAGCACCCUCAGCGGGACGGGGAGAAGGAGGAGCGCCGGGGUGCUCCUCCGGCCGUACCUUCUGUGGGAGCUGAGACGCCGGCUUCGCCUCCAGCCUGACGGAGAGCAGAGCGAGUAAAAGUCCACCAGCCAGCAAGGAUACCUUCCCCCCAGAAAGGGGGGUCUGGCAGCAUUUCAUCUGCAGUCUGGAGGUCCCAACAUGAGCCCAGGCUUGUCAGUUUUGGCGCUGAGCAUCCCUUUGGGAAGAUGUACUGCCCAAAGAAGUGAUGACCUGGAAAGGCCAAAGGGUGCUCCUCCAGGCGCUGCUGUGUCUGAGGGAGAUGGAACCCACCAGUCCUGAUCUUGGGUGGCGUGUUUCCCAACCAGAGGUAUGGAGGGCACAGAAGACUGGAGAAGCUGAAGGACGAGUGGGGCAAGACCACAUGUUGUGACACAGCAGAUGGGUAUCUACUGUGGAGAAAGAUGGUUUUUAGCUUAUUUAUGGUAAUAAACCUGUCUCCCUCCCC